UGGAGAGAGACACCAGACAAGACACAGAGACAGCAACAGAAUAGGAUAUGAUGGAGAGAGACACCAGACAAGACACAGAGACAGCAACAGAAGAAUAGGAUAUGAUGGAGAGAGACACCAAACAAGACACAGAGACAGCAACAGAAGAAUAGGAUAUGAUGGAGAGAGACACCAGACAAGACACAGAGACAGCAACAGACGACACAGAGAAAGUGAUGGAGAGAGACAGAAGAAUAGAGUUCCAGACAGUUGUAGAAUGUAUACCAAGGCACAUUGUAAGAGCUAUAAAGAGAGAGGGAGGGAGAGAGAACAGGCAGAACCUGAUAUGUAAAUGAGCAGAGCAAAUGAAACUCACUUUUGACGACCUGAUGAUCAUCCAGACUGUGUUUCUAUUGAGAGAUAAAAGGCUGGUUGAAUGAGUUGUCUAUGAAAGCUACUUCAUCUGUAAGAAAACAGGCGGCUGCACCAGUGACUGUAAGUUAUGUGAUUUCCUCAUAUGAAAUUAAAAGUAUGUUUGUAGCCUACGCAGUUACAAAAUGGCUGUUGAAACUGUGACACAUAUUUCUCAGUACAUUAGAAGUCAGAUAAAUGUGUUGAGACGUAGGAAAGAUGGGCAAACUCUCGUUGGUCUUGGCUUUCUACACACUAUUAUAAGGUUAGUCGAUGUCAGACAUUCAAUAGUCAGAGUAGGUUUGAGCUAUGAUCACUUAUCAUGCUGACAAACCUGAUGGUCUCUGUGAACUGAUCUGAAAAAGUUUAGGCUGGUCAUCUAUGAUAUGUAGGUUAUAUACAGUACAUUCUCUGUACUGCUACUGGUAGGACUAUAACAUUAUGUGAACUGAUCUGAACAGGUUUAGACUGGUCAUCUAUGAUAUGUAGGUUAUAUACAGUACAUUCUCUGUCCUGCUACUGGUAGGACUAUAACAUUAUGUGAACUGAUCUGAACAGGUUUAGACUGGUCAUCUAUGAU
ensembl:lncRNA